ACGCCGGGCAAAUCUCAGAAAUAACGUCCCAGUUCGGAUUGUAGUCUGCAACCCGACUACAUGAAGCUGGAAUCGCUAGUAAUCGCGAAUCAGAAUGUCGCGGUGAAUACGUUCCCGGGUCUUGUACACACCGCCCGUCACACCAUGGGAGUCGGAAAUGCCCGAAGUCAGUGACCCAACCGUAAGGAGGGAGCUGCCGAAGGUGGAGCCGGUAACUGGGGUGAAGUCGUAACAAGGUACC
rnacentral:rRNA from 1 species